rnacentral:rRNA from 1 species
GAUGAACGCUAGCGGCAGGCUUAACACAUGCAAGUCGAACGGUAACAUAGAAAAGCUUGCUUUUCUGAUGACGAGUGGCGAACGGGUGCGUAACACGUAUGCAACCUACCUUUUACAGGGGGAUAGCCCAGAGAAAUCUGGAUUAAUACCCCAUAGUAUUGAGAAUUGGCAUCUUUUCUCAAUUAAAACUCCGGUGGUAAAAGAUGGGCAUGCGGUCUAUUAGUUUGUUGGUGAGGUAACGGCUCACCAAGACUACGAUAGAUAGGGGUUCUGAGAGGAUGAUCCCCCACACUGGUACUGAGACACGGACCAG